rnacentral:lncRNA from 1 species
CCACCGUUCUUUGGCGUAGACCCGUAGGUGGUGAAUAUAUGUAAUGCGUGUAUUGUAUGAGAUGCCCGUGUUUGUAUCGAUAGCCCUAGCUGCAGGUACGUCGUUGCCACCGGCGUGUGCAACCCCGACCGAGUUGUUUGUUUGGUGUGUCGUUCUUGUUUUAAAGCAGGCAUCGCACCUAUUCAUGUCAUUGUCAUGCAUGCUAAUACAACUAUCACAUUGUUGUGUGUAGUUAAUCAAUUAAACUCUAUUCCUUGCAUAUGGAGUUGUUUAGAUGCUAUGCGUAGAUGUUUCAGACUCCAUUUAACUUGGUAAAUUGUAAAUCGGAUUUACUAUCGGAAUACUUAAUAUGUCAUGCAUCAUCCCUAUGUC